GAUGAACGCUGGCGGCGUGCCUAAUACAUGCAAGUCGAGCGAACGGACGAGAAGCUUGCUUCUCUGAUGUUAGCGGCGGACGGGUGAGUAACACGUGGAUAACCUACCUAUAAGACUGGGAUAACUUCGGGAAACCGUAGCUAAUACCGGAUAAUAUUUUGAACCGCAUGGUUCAAAAGUGAAAUACGUUCUUGCUGUCACUUAUAGAUGGAUCCGCGCUGCAUUAGCGAGUUGGUAAGGUAACGGCUUACCAAGGCAACGAUGCAUAGCCGACCUGAGAGGGUGAUCGGGCACACUGGAACUGAGACACGGUCCAGACUCCUACGGGAGGCAGCAGUAGGGAAUCUUCCGCGAUGGGCGAAAGCCUGACGGAGCAACGCCGCGUGAGUGCUGAAGGUCUUCGUAUCGUAAAACUCUGUUAUUAGGGAAGAACAUAUGUGUAAGUAACUGUGCACAUCUUGACGGUACCUAAACAGAAAGCCACGGCUAACUACGUG
rnacentral:rRNA from 1 species